rnacentral:rRNA from 1 species
GAUGAACGCUAGCUACAGGCUUAACACAUGCAAGUCGCGGGGCAGCAUGGGGGUUGCUUGCAAUCCCCGAUGGCGACCGGCGCACGGGUGAGUAACGCGUAUCCAACCUGCCCUUCACCACGGGAUAACCCGGCGAAGGUCGGACUAAUACCGUAUGUUGUCCAUUGACGGCAUCCGAUUUGGACGAAAGGCUUGGCGGUGAGGGAUGGGGAUGCGUCCGAUUAGCCAGACGGCGGGGUAACGGCCCACCGUGGCUACGAUCGGUAGGGGUUCUGAGAGGAAGGUCCCCCACACUGGAACUGAGACACGGUCCAGACUCCUACGGGAGGCAGCAGUGAGGAAUAUUGGUCAAUGGGCGUAAGCCUGAACCAGCCAAGUAGCGUGCAGGAUGACGGCCCUAUGGGUUGUAAACUGCUUUUAUGCGGGGAUAAAGUGGCCCACGUGUGGGCUUUUGCAGGUACCGCAUGAAUAAGGACCGGCUAAUUCCGUG